rnacentral:rRNA from 1 species
AGAGUUUGAUCAUGGCUCAGGACGAACGCUGGCGGCGUGCUUAACACAUGCAAGUCGAACGAUGACCUCCAGCUUGCUGGGGUGAUUAGUGGCGAACGGGUGAGUAACACGUGAGUAACCUGCCCUCCACUCUGGGAUAAGCACUGGAAACGGUGUCUAAUACCGGAUACGAGCUUCCGCCGCAUGGUGAGGAGCUGGAAAGAAUUUUGGUGGUGGAUGGACUCGCGGCCUAUCAGGUAGUUGGUGAGGUAAUGGCUCACCAAGCCGACGACGGGUAGCCGGCCUGAGAGGGUGACCGGCCACACUGGGACUGAGACACGGCCCAGACUCCUACGGGAGGCAGCAGUGGGGAAUAUUGCACAAUGGGCGAAAGCCUGAUGCAGCAACGCCGCGUGAGGGACGACGGCCUUCGGGUUGUAAACCUCUUUUAGUAGGGAAGAAGCGAAAGUGACGGUACCUGCAGAAAAAGCACCGGCUAACUACGUGCCAGCAGCCGCGGUAAUACGUAGGGUGCAAGCGUUGUCCGGAAUUAUUGGGCGUAAAGAGCUCGUAGGCGGUUUGUCGCGUCUGCUGUGAAAUCCGGAGGCUCAACCUCCGGCCUGCAGUGGGUACGGGCAGACUAGAGUGCGGUAGGGGAGAUUGGAAUUCCUGGUGUAGCGGUGGAAUGCGCAGAUAUCAGGAGGAACACCAAUGGCGAAGGCAGAUCUCUGGGCCGUAACUGACGCUGAGGAGCGAAAGCAUGGGGAGCGAACAGGAUUAGAUACCCUGGUAGUCCAUGCCGUAAACGUUGGGAACUAGGCGUAGGGUCCAUUCCACGGAUUCUGUGCCGCAGCUAACGCAUUAAGUUCCCCGCCUGG